GACUGCGUAGUUCAACUGGAUAGAAUAUCAGAUUUCGACUCUGAGGGUUGCAGGUUCGAACCCUGUCGCGGUCACUA
rnacentral:tRNA from 1 species